ensembl:lncRNA
GAAACGACACCAUGGCCAACCAUUGGACAACCAACGCAUGCUGAAGAUUCAUCAUCUAAGGCAGCACAGGUGACUGGGAUGUCCACUGCUGAACCCUCAACAAUACAAACAGUUCAUGAAACUGUCAACGUGUCAACACCAAGUGAUCCAGAUAUGAAAAAGAUGCAAGAAAGACAUAACAUUGUUCAGUGGAUCGUGCCAGUUUUGGGAAUUUUCAUUGUAGUUUCUGCUAUAACCAUACUGGUGGUCAAGAAAAAACAGCAGAAAAUUGGCUCCUUUACCAUAUUAGAAAAAAGUGUGAAUGAAACCCUGUCUGCAAACUCUGACUCUAGCCAAGGCCCACCUAGCAGUGAAAUAUUGAUGGAGCUCAUGGAUUCCUCGCAGCAUCACUUUGUAACACAAUGAACUAUUUUGUAAAAGUGUAACAUUAAACAACAUUUACUAUUCAAUUAACAUCAUCAUAACAUGUACACAGAGUAACCCCCCUUGAUUCACUGGGGAAAUGGCUCAUUUAUCAACAAUCUAUAGACAUUAGAGAUGUGGCUUGACUUUUAAUUUAAUUAAUAUAUACCUUCAUACUUUUUGUUUGCAAAGCUAUGAUUAUUUAACAACUAAACUUGUUUUUUCUAUUAACAACCAUCAUUAAUCACCAGUUUUUCUCUAGUGCCUUAUCUUUCAGAUAGAGGCAAAAAAGAUGCAAUGAUUUAACAUCAAUUUAAGCAUUAAACUUUAAAGAACUUAUGGGUAUACACUUAUAAUGCUAAUAUACCCAUCAUCAAGCUAAAGUAUAAAUGUAUAUGUAAAUGUAUGUGAAUUUUGUGCUUAUACUGAUUGAAAUUGGCCCCAAUAUAUAUAAAUAUGUAUGCUGUGUAAACUGGGGAAUAAACAAUUAAAA